UCAAACUUGGUCAUUUAGAGGAAGUAAAAGUCGUAACAAGGUCUCCGUUGGUGAACCAGCGGAGGGAUCAUUACCGAGUUUACAACUCCCAAACCCAAUGUGAACGUUACCAAACUGUUGCCUCGGCGGGAUCUCUGCCCCGGGCGCGUCGCAGCCCCGGACCAAGGCGCCCGCCGGAGGAACCAACCAAAACUCUUAUUGUAUACCCCCUCGCGGGUUUUUUUUACUAUCUGAGCCAUCUCGGCGCCCCUCGCGGGCGUUUCGAAAAUGAAUCAAAACUUUCAACAACGGAUCUCUUGGUUCUGGCAUCGAUGAAGAACGCAGC
rnacentral:misc_RNA from 1 species